AUUGAACGCUGGCGGCAGGCCUAACACAUGCAAGUCGAACGAGUGGCGGACGGGUGAGUAAUGUCUGGGAAACUGACUGAUGGAGGGGGAUAACUACUGGAAACGGUAGCUACUACCGCAUACCAUCGGAUGUGCCCAGAUGGGAUUAGCUAGUAGGGGGGGUAAAGGCUCACAUAGGCGACGAGCCCUAGCUGGUCUGAGAGGAUGACCUGCCACACUGUAACUGAGACACGGUCCAGACUCCUACGGGAGGCAGCAGUGGGGAAUAUUGCACAAUGGGCGCAAGCCUGAUGCAGCCAUGCCGCGUGUAUGAAGAAGGCCUUCGGGUUGUAAAGGACUUUCAGCGGGGAGGCGUUACCCGCAGAAGAAGCACCGGCUAACUCCGUGCCAGCAGCCGCGGUAAUUC
rnacentral:rRNA from 1 species